rnacentral:tRNA from 1 species
GUCCCUGUAGCGCAGAGGAUAGCGCGCUGGACUUCUAAUCCAGAGGUCGCGGGUUCGAAUCCCGCCAGGGAUG